rnacentral:misc_RNA from 1 species
UAUCCGUAGGUGAACCUGCGGAGGGAUCAUUACAGAGUUCAUGCCCUACCGGGUAGAUCUCCCACCCUAUGUUAUUAUUACUUUGUUGCUUUGGCAGGCCGUUAGGCUCCGGCCCGACUACCGGCCCCGGCUGGUAAGCGCCCGCCAGAGGACCCAAAACCCUGAAUAUUAGUGUCGUCUGAGUACUAUAUAAUAGUUAAAACUUUCAACAACGGAUCUCUUGGUUCUGACAUCGAUGAAGAACGCAGC